rnacentral:rRNA from 1 species
CCUACGGGAGGCAGCAGUGGGGAAUAUUGGACAAUGGGGGGAACCCUGAUCCAGCCAUGCCGCGUGUGUGAAGAAGGCCCUCGGGUUGUAAAGCACUUUCAGUGAGGAAGAACGCCUGGUGGUUAAUACCCAUCAGGAAAGACAUCACUCACAGAAGACGCACCGGCUAACUCCGUGCCAGCAGCCGCGGUAAUACGGAGGGUGCGAGCGUUAAUCGGAAUUACUGGGCGUAAAGCGCGCGUAGGUGGCUUGAUAAGCCGGUUGUGAAAGCCCCGGGCUCAACCUGGGAACGGCAUCCGGAACUGUCAAGCUAGAGUGCAGGAGAGGAAGGUAGAAUUCCCGGUGUAGCGGUGAAAUGCGUAGAGAUCGGGAGGAAUACCAGUGGCGAAGGCGGCCUUCUGGACUGACACUGACACUGAGGUGCGAAAGCGUGGGUAGCAAACAGGAUUAGAUACCCCGGUAGUC